rnacentral:rRNA from 2 species
CAUGAUUUACAUUUGAGUGAGUGGCGAACUGGUGAGUAACACGUGGGAAACCUGCCCAGAAGCGGGGGAUAACACCUGGAAACAGAUGCUAAUACCGCAUAACAACUUGGACCGCAUGGUCCGAGUUUGAAAGAUGGCUUCGGCUAUCACUUUUGGAUGGUCCCGCGGCGUAUUAGCUAGAUGGUGGGGUAACGGCUCACCAUGGCAAUGAUACGUAGCCGACCUGAGAGGGUAAUCGGCCACAUUGGGACUGAGACACGGCCCAAACUCCUACGGGAGGCAGCAGUAGGGAAUCUUCCACAAUGGACGAAAGUCUGAUGGAGCAACGCCGCGUGAGUGAAGAAGGGUUUCGGCUCGUAAAACUCUGUUGUUAAAGAAGAACAUAUCUGAGAGUAACUGUUCAGGUAUUGACGGUAUUUAACCAGAAAGCCACGGCUAACUACGUGCCAGCAGCCGCGGUAAUACGUAGGUGGCAAGCGUUGUCCGGAUUUAUUGGGCGUAAAGCGAGCGCAGGCGGUUUUUUAAGUCUGAUGUGAAAGCCUUCGGCUCAACCGAAGAAGUGCAUCGGAAACUGGGAAACUUGAGUGCAGAAGAGGACAGUGGAACUCCAUGUGUAGCGGUGAAAUGCGUAGAUAUAUGGAAGAACACCAGUGGCGAAGGCGGCUGUCUGGUCUGUAACUGACGCUGAGGCUCGAAAGUAUGGGUAGCAAACAGGAUUAGAUACCCUGGUAGUCCAUACCGUAAACGAUGAAUGCUAAGUGUUGGAGGGUUUCCGCCCUUCAGUGCUGCAGCUAACGCAUUAAGCAUUCCGCCUGGGGAGUACGGCCGCAAGGCUGAAACUCAAAGGAAUUGACGGGGGCCCGCACAAGCGGUGGAGCAUGUGGUUUAAUUCGAAGCUACGCGAAGAACCUUACCAGGUCUUGACAUACUAUGCAAAUCUAAGAGAUUAGACGUUCCCUUCGGGGACAUGGAUACAGGUGGUGCAUGGUUGUCGUCAGCUCGUGUCGUGAGAUGUUGGGUUAAGUCCCGCAACGAGCGCAACCCUUAUUAUCAGUUGCCAGCAUUAAGUUGGGCACUCUGGUGAGACUGCCGGUGACAAACCGGAGGAAGGUGGGGAUGACGUCAAAUCAUCAUGCCCCUUAUGACCUGGGCUACACACGUGCUACAAUGGAUGGUACAACGAGUUGCGAACUCGCGAGAGUAAGCUAAUCUCUUAAAGCCAUUCUCAGUUCGGAUUGUAGGCUGCAACUCGCCUACAUGAAGUCGGAAUCGCUAGUAAUCGCGGAUCAGCAUGCCGCGGUGAAUACGUUCCCGGGCCUUGUACACACCGCCCGUCACACCAUGAGAGUUUGUAA